rnacentral:lncRNA from 1 species
GAGAACCCUAUACCAGGCUUCAAUAUAAUCAUAGUAACAAAACUGAUGAUUUUGACUGGAGAGAUCCAUGAGAUCGGAGGGAUUUUUUCCCCAAUCGGAGAUCUGAACAAACUGUUUAAUAUACAUAGAAUGAUAGAGGACUUUUGAUUUAUCAUUCUGUGCAUAAAUGGGCUUGAUGUUUACUGACUCUGUUUCCAGAAGAAUAUCCUUAUAGUACACAAGGGACUUAUAAGGAGCUAGAGGUUGG